rnacentral:tRNA from 2 species
GCGGAACUGGCGGAAUUGGUAGACGCGCAUGAUUCAGGUUCAUGUGCCGCGAGGCGUGGAGGUUCAAGUCCUCUGUUCCGCA